AUUGAACGCUGGCGGCAGGCCUAACACAUGCAAGUCGAACGAGUGGCGGACGGGUGAGUAAUGUCUGGGAAACUGCCUGAUGGAGGGGGAUAACUACUGGAAACGGUAGCUAAUACCGCAUACCAUCAGAUGUGCCCUGAUGGGAUUAGCUAGUUGGUAACGGCUCACCAAGUCGACGAGCCCUAGCUGGUCAGGAAGGAUGACCACCCACACUGGAACUGAGACACGGUCCAGACUCCUACGGAAGGCAGCAGUGUGGAAUAUUGCACACUGGGCGCAAGCCUGUUGCAGCCAUGCCGCGUGUAUGAAGAGGGCCUUCGGGUUGUAAAGUACUUUCAGCGGGGAGGCCUUACCCGCAGAAGAAGCACCGGCUAACUCCGGGCUAGCAGCCGCUGUAAUAC
rnacentral:rRNA from 1 species